CCCUUCUCAGGAUCACAAUUGGAGAGUUCCAGUACUCUACCAGUCUUGGCUGCGGCAGGAAGAGUUGAGCAGAGGCAUACCCAUUCCAUUCCUAGCUUGGGCAGUGGCUAGUGAGUGGAAGGCAAUCUGCUACAAGU